rnacentral:lncRNA from 1 species
CCGACCUUAAUAUAACAUUUUGUUUUUCCAUUUCGCUAGAUAGAUUCUGAGUUGUUCCAACAAGUUACUACAAUAAGAUAUUUUCACAUUUCUACCGAUGACCGGAAGUGCUACCUCUGGAAAUUCGUGUUGGAAAUCUCAUAAAGUGUGUGAUCUUCACAUAUUAUUAAUAAUAUCACAAGUGUUAAAGUUUUAAACAAAAGUAUAUUCAUAUGGAUACAUUAGUGUAGCCUAGACAAUAGAAGUUGAUCUGGAGCUCAAAUAAGACGACUUCACAAUAACUUGUUGACUCAGCCUUUGUUUCUCAUGCAACCUGGUUACAGCCCAAGUAAGAGAUUGGAGAUCCCCAUUUCUGGAAUACUUCCAAGGUGGAAAAAUGUAAGAGGAUAAGAAUGAGCGUCGGAAGUUACAAACACGCAUUCUGAGAUUUUGCAACAUAGGGGACACCCUCUAAAGAAAUCCUACGAUGAUGGAUCCCUAAUAAAUGGUCUCAUAAUACGAGGAUCAAUACACAGCAGAAGAAAUUCACAAAGGUGUGUGGGGAAUCCACCAAGGGGGAGAUCUUUAGAUCAAAGAAUAGCAAGACAAGGAUACUUCUACUCACAUUAAAAAGAGAUACAAUAUUCAUUUAUGCAAGAGGGUAUAAAGCUAAUAAGAUUCACAAAAAUAUCCAAAGAAAUCCCGCGACAUUACUAACCGGGAUUAAUUGUCCAAUCUCUUUUGCAAUGUGGGGGUUGGAUAUUGUUAGACCAAAUUUAUAUUUAUCACCGUUGACUACUUUACUAAGUGGGUUGAAACCUUAGAAGUAUCCUGAAGCAACUCAAAUUAAAUCAAUUACGUAAAAGAGUUGACCUGAUGGUCAGGAUUGCCCCGAUCCAAAAUCUGAAGACCCUAGGUGUCAGAGGCAGCGCGCAACCGGGAAAUCACCCUUAAAUCAAGGCUGAGCUUCAAUCUCCGCUGUUAAGCAAGGAGAGGAAGAGCUUGAUACGGCAGAUGACAAUUGAUAGACAGAUGGGAAGCGUUCAGGAGCAAAAUGCGAUAGGGAUGAGGCGGAGGCGUACUCAGCUAUUACUGGAUGAAAUUAGGGUUGCGGGAAUUUUGUUUAUAAUUUCGAUAAAAAUUCUGUCAAUGAUUACAUCAGACUUUUAUAUCUAGGUGGUGAUACAGUAUCCCUCACCCCCAUCACUAGGAAUCUUGAAAAUGCGAUAAUGAAAAACGCAUGGGGUUCAUAAUAAAGAAAACUAAUUUAUUUCAUUUGAUCCGGAUCCAUUUCAAAGUCAUCGAACCGGGCUGGUCGGUUCUUCUGCCUUUUUGGCCUGGGGUUGUUAGGCUGGUCUUUCUCCUCCAACCGUUGCGAACCAUCGUUCUUCGCCAAAUCAGAGUUUAGGGUUUCACUUGCACCUGUUUGAAUAGCGUCGACGUCCUCUGUAAUUGCGUCGAAAUCAACCCAGUACGUAUCAUACCCAAUGAUGGGGGUGAAACCCGACCAGUACUCCAAGACGCGCAAGCAAGCGCCAAGCGGGGAACUCCGCGGGAAACCGGACCGGAACUCAAGUGUGCAGAGCUCUGCUUCGCUAGGAAUUCUUCUUCUCCAAAUGACUUGCCUUUAAUGAGUGGGGGGUGCCCUCUAUUUAUAGGGGUUCUUAUGGGGGCAAUAUGGUCAUUUGGGCAGUAACCGCCUAACUGCCCAACUGAUCAGAUUGGGUCCAGGGGUCGACUUUCUGGGGGUCGACUUUUCCUGGUGAUCGACUUUACUCAAAAGUCGAUCCCAGGAAAGUCGAUCCUCAGGAAAGUCGAUCUUCCUAGGAUUCGACCUGGGACCUCCCCAACCGUAGAAUAGAUACCCUACCUCAUCUAAGGCUACCCGGACUUCUAGUUGCUGGUAGGUUGUGACCGUGUUCGGGAUACUGUAUCACCAGUACUCCCCCCUCCUCUGCGUAUUAAAUACUUCGGGAUACGUCUUUUAGUAAUUUUUCCAACAGAUGAUUUUUUCUUCCAUGUUACAUUUGUAAGCCAAAAAUCAACCAUCUCCUUCCAUAUAAUCGGUGAGAUCCAAGGAGGAUUGAAUUGAAUAAUUGAUAUGUCCAUCUUGUCAAUGGCAAUUCCUGCCUUAUUACAAGCAUUUUUCCUCGCUAUAUGAAGAUUGUUUUUAUACGUCUGGUUGACAUAUUUCUCGAAUUGGAAUCUAGCGACAUCAUUAUCGUGAAAACUGAAAAAUUUCUGUAAAUUACAAAUGAUGGGGGUGAAACCCGACCAGUACUCCAAGACGCGCAAGCAAGCGCCAAGCGGGGAACUCCGCGGGAAACCGGACCGGAACUCAAGUGCGCAGAGCUCUGCUUCGCUAGGAAUCCUUUCGCUCCAAAUGACCUGCCUUUAAUGAGUGGGGGGUGCCCUCUAUUUAUAGGGGUUCUUAUGGGGGCAAUAUGGUCAUUUGGGCAGUAACCGCCUAACUGCCCAACUGAUCAGAUUGGGUCCAGGGGUCGACUUUCCAGAGAUCGACUUUCUGGGGGUCGACUUUUCCUGGUGAUCGACUUUACUCAAAAGUCGAUCCCAGGGAAGUCGAUCCUCAGGAAAGUCGAUCUUCCUAGGAUUCGACCUGGGACCUCCCCAACCCUAGAAUAGAUACCCUACCUCAUCUUAGGCUACCCGGACUUCUAGUUGCUGGUAGGUUGUGACCGUGUUCGGGCCAGAUACUUCCGGAAGAUUAACGAAGUGGGCACUGGAGUUAAGCGAGUUCGAUGUAGAUUUUGUUCCUGCCACAGCCAUUAAAGGGCAAGCAGUUGUAGACUUUAUUGUAGACAUGACCCAGGAAAGCAAAGAAAAACCUUGGAUAGUAGAGGUUGAUGGCUCGAGCUGCAGUACAGGUGCAGGAGUGGGAAUAAAGAUAAUCACUCCAGACCAACGAAUAUAUGAACAUUCUAUCAGAUUAUAGUUCUCAGCUACGAAUAAUAUAGCAGAAUACGAAGCUGUGAUCCAAGGAAUGAAAAUUCUCAAAAGGUUAGGGGCCUGUUCAGUAAUUAUUAAAACAGACUCUCAAUUAGUGGCUCGGCAAUUCACAGGAGAGUUCACUGUUAAAGAACCUCUAAUUGUACAGUACGCAGCCACACUGGAGAAAAUCAAAGAACAAUUUACUAAAGUUGAAGUAGAACAGAUACCAAGGAGUCAAAAUAACUCAGCUGAUGCCCUGGCAAAGCUAGCUUCUGCUUUCGAGGGGGGCAGAGAGAGAUACUAGUUGACUCAGCAUCUACACCUUCAUGUAACUUAGUCACGAUCCAGGCAGAAGACUGGAGGAAGCCCUUGAUAGAAUACUUCGAGGGACAGAAACUUCCUGAAAAUAAAAAUGAAAGACGCAAGUUACAAACACGCGUUUCAAAAUUCUGCCUGAUCGGUGAUAUUCUGUAUAAGAAAUCCUACGACGGACCUCUGAUGAAAUGUGUCUCAACAGAAGAAGGACAAUUCAUUGUGGAGGAGAUUCAUCAAGGAGUAUGCGGAAUACAUCAGGGGGGAAGAUCUUUGGCCCAAAGAAUAAUAAGGCAAGGAUACUUCUGGCCCACACUGAAAAAAGAUGCAGUCCUAUUUGCAAGAAAAUGCAAGGCCUGUCAAAUACACAAGAACAUACAGAGAAAUCCCGCAUCUCAGCUAACAGGGGUAGAAAGCCCCAUCCCCUUUGCAAUGUGGGGAUUAGAUAUUGUGGGACCAUUUCCAGUAUCGACAGGCCAAGCUAAAUUUAUAUUUGUGGCUGUCGAUUACUUUACUAAAUGGGUCGAGGCACUAGUUGUACCCAAGAUAACUCAAGGAGCAGCAACGAAAUUUGUCUUCAAGUGCAUAAUGUGCAGAUUUGGUGUUCCAAUGCAUAUAGUGACAGAUAACGGUACACAGUUUACCGGUGGGGAGUUUACGAGAUUGUGCGAAAACAUGGGCACUAGAAUCCAUUUUUCAUCGCUAUACAGACCACAGGGUAAUGGGCAAGUAGAAGUCACAAACAGAGCCAUCGUUCAGGGACUGAAAAAAAAGUCGAACAGGCCAAAGGUUUGUGGGCAGAUCUACUACCAGAGAUCCUGUGGGCGUAUAGAACCACUGAAAAGACACCCACCGGAGAAACCCCGUUCUCACUAGCAUAUGGAAUGGAAGCACUAAUCCCAACAGAGCUAAGCAUUCCAACGGUCAGAGUGUUAUCCUAUGACAUGGAAGAAAACAUGAGAUCAUGUGCGAUAACUCUGGACUUAGUGGAUGAGCUUAGGGACAACGCACAGGCAAAGAAUGCAGCUUACAAACAAAGUAUCGCUAGAUACCACGACAAGAAUGUCAAGGGUAAAGCGAUAAGAAAAGGAAGCCUAGUAUGGAGAAGAGCGAGUGUCGGUAGAAAAGACUGCUCUAAAGGCAAACUAGGUGCAAAGUGGGAAGGACCAUAUGUGGUGGAGGAUGAACUCCGACCAGACACGUACAAGUUAAAGCGGGAGGAUGGAACAGGCAUUCCUAAUACUUGGCACGCAGAUAACCUACAGUUAUACUUUUAAACAGUUAAGUAGGAUUAUAAUUACUCUUGUAAUAGUUUGAACUAUGUAACCAAUACGUUAUUUAGUUAGCUAUCAGAACACUUGAAAAUACAUUCCAUAUAUUGAUUUUAAAAAGAAUUACAGAGGAAUGUAAAUUACAACAGUCAAAAGGAUAAGAUAGAGGAUUUAAUCUAUUUUAGGAGGGGGGGGUGUAUCCUUAGAGCCCUCUGCAUCGUUGUUAUCUUGAUCUUCUACGCAGAAAUCUUUAUCAACGUCAGCAAGCGCCUCUAGAACCUCCUCUUCUUCUUCAUUCUCCUCAUCCUCUUCUUCCGCAAGCGCCCGGUUUCGAACUUCAGUAGCUUCCUUGGGGUACUUGCGGGCCCAGUCAUGGACAUCCGCAGCCUCGAAACCAGGGCAAACAUGAGGGCCCAGAUCAACCAAGUCAUUAUAAUCUCGCACAUUGCAAGAUAAUCAACUUUGAGCUUCUCCAGAUGGUUGAUCAUACGUUGAAGCUCCUCAGUUGCUUGUCGAGCUUCCUCAGUUGCUUGUCGAGCUUCCUCAGUCAAGCGUUGGACCUCCUCAGUUUUUGCCUGGUCCAUUUCCUUCAGUCGCAUUAUUAAUUUCUGAUUAUCAUCCUGCGACUUCAACAGCUUCUUGUUCUCUUCAUGACUCUCACCCAGUCGGUCGGAAAAUAUGGAGUUCUGUGUCCGACAGGAGUCAAGAUUCGCCUCAACAUUUUCGCGCUGACGGCCAAGAUCGACAAUUAUCGAAUCUUUAAUCAGGACCUUGGCACGUUCAGCAGUCAGUUCCAGCUCUGCAGCCCCCAAUUCACCCUUGAUUUUGGAGAUUUCCUGCUCUUUAUCUCUCAAGAGAUUCCUUUGAGCAGCCCAAUCCGCAGAUAACUUCUUAUUGGUGGCAGACAGAGUUGAGGUGUCGGAAAUCUUUUGUGAAACCUCGCCUUCCAAAUCUUUGCAUCGGCGCUUCACCUUCUUCAAAUCGUCUUCCAUAGACUGAUAGUCACGGAGACGAGACAAAGAAGAGAGGCGGCCCUGAAACAAGUAGGUGAGCUGCAAAAAAAGAAUGGGUAAGGACACGCUCAUAAAAAUAAUCAAAAUAAGAGCACUCACGUUGCUCAGGUUCUGUCCUAUCUCUUCAACAGUACGAUCCAUCGGAUACCCAGAGAUGGCCCGCAGUGUAGUCCGGGCGAUAUCCGUAUCAGGGGUCAGAAGAAACUUGGACCCAUAAUUCCGGGGGUGUGCACCUUGGUACCCCGGCAGUUGUGUCUCCCGGGUGGAAGAAUAAUUGUAGCGACCCCGGGAGGACUCCCAAGCAUAAAAUCUCCGGCGUGGAGGAGUUCGUCGCCUGGGAGAAUGUCUCCUCGACUUCCUUGGAGGAGAUGAGGUGGUCCUGGAGGGAGGAGUUCGUUCUUUUCUUCUUCUCCUCUCAGAGAUCUCUUUCUCUGUAGUUUUUUCAGUCCGCUUAGACUGAAUCUCUUUCUCUGUGGCCUUCUCCGCUUUCUCUCGCUCUUCUUCUGACAGAGUAGGGAAGAAGUCGGAGAGCCUCGAAGCAGCAGGAGACUGCCCAGGAGUAGUGUCUUUAGGUACCUCCGGAGGUACCUCCCGUCCUCAGUUCGUUGGACUUCGUUAGGAGGAGUAGGGGACUUCGCCAUGGUGUAGGCGUUCUCUAGAGCACGCUGCCUCAGAUGAUCAGCAUCAGAAGGCUUGGAGGCAGCUGCAUAAACUUUUGAACCCGUUUCAUUUUGCCCAACGCGUUCAGGGACACCUCCGGGGUUUUGCAUAUAAAAAUCUGCAAGGAAUAAAAACAGAAUUAGAAAAUGCAUAUGUAUAGAAAAACGUAAAAGGAAAAACAGGCAAAGGAAGACCUUGUCGGUUAAAAGUAUCUUCAAUCGCGUGACCGACAGGCACAGCGAUAGGAUGCAAAAAGGCCAACUUUUGCACGGAAGCUCCCUCUUCCUCAGUCAGAUCAGGACGAGGAAUAGGUUUGCGGCCACUAGUGGAUGCAGGGAGAAGUCUGCUACCAGGGCAUAACCUGCAAUCCACAAAAAUAAACUCACUCUUGUUCCGCCUGGUCGGAGGAUCUUUCAAGAGGGCAGAGUGAGUGAUAGAUAUAGCACGGCUGGCACAUGCAAUGAAAGGGCUGCCCUUCUUCGGAUUUUGGAAUGUGAAGAAGUGGAAGAACAGCCGAGCAGUAGGGACUAUGCCAGCAUCCCUGAGAACGUUAAUAAAUCCCCGGACAUAGAAGAAAAAAGCGGCACCCAUCUGGGAGAUGCACAAUCCAGAGUAUAGAAGUAUUUCACUAAUUAUGGAAGGGAUCGGAAGGAUCGGAAAGUUAGUGAAAUAUACACGAUGGAGUGCCAGCAUGAAAUAGGGGGGCACGUCGCCAGUGUUCUCAGAGGGGUACGCCCAGUACACUCUCUCUCUAAGCUGUCUUUUGGACAUGCUUUGUUGAGGUCUGUGAAGUCUACACACAUCCUCCAUUUCCCAAUGGAUUUUUUAACCAUGACUGGGUUUGCUAGCCACUUUGGAUAUUUAACUUCCCGGAUGUGCCCAGCCUUGAUUAAUUUUUCAAUUUCAGCCUGUGCUGCUUCCUUUCUUUCAGCUGCGAGUAUUCUUCGCUUUUGCCGUAUAGGAGUAAAGCUGUUGUCUAUGUUGAGUUCAUGUCAUGUUAUAGUACGUUGUACCUGUGAGGGUGCUUCCCCUUCCCAUACAAACGUGUGCACAUGAGUUUCUAACAAAUGCAGUAGUGAUUUUUUCAACUCGGAGGAUACAGAUGUGCCUAUCAGGACUCCUCCCUUUGAGAGUUUGACUUCCUCAACUUGAUUGGCUGAGGUUGUGUCUUCUUCCUCCUCUCUUUCCUGAAUGUAUAGGGUUAUUGGUUUGGCCAUUUUAGUUGCCUUCCUAUAUGAGUUUCUGGAGUCUUUCUGUGCUCCGAAGACUGUUGCCAUUUUUCCAUCUUUUCCUGGGUACCUGAAGCAUUGGUGGUAAGAUGACGGUAUUGCCUUGAAACCGUGAAUGCUUGGUCUGCCCAGGAUCCCAUUGAACGGAGAAUCUAUGUUGACCACAAUGAAGUGUGCCGUGCGUGAUACUCUUCCGUUUCUUUUUCCCAGGGAUAUCUGUAGAUCGAUGGCUCCUACUACUGGGGCCUUUGUGUUUGUGAACCCAUAAAUGGCUUCCUUGGCCGGGGUUAGUUGAUCCACCUUGUAGCCCAUUUUCUCGAACGCAGCUAGGUACAGUAUGUCUACCGAGCUGCCAUUGUCCACCAUUACCUUACUCAGACUUAAAUUAUCCCUGAUGUCCACUUGUAUUACUAGCGGAUCUUCGUGCGGGCUGUCCACGUUGUCCAGAUCUUCCUCAGAGAAGCUUAUUUCCUCGCUUGGGUACGAUAUUUUCUUAGAUUUUGGUACCGUCGUAGUCUGCAUAACUUUUAUAAUUGAAUUUAUAACUUUAAAAUAACUUUUUUUAAUUUUAAUUUUGAACUUUAAAAUUUAAAACAUCUAAAAUAACUUUAAUUUAUAACUUCUUUAAUUUUUUUUAAUUUAAGAAUAAACUUAUUUUAUAAGUUUUAAAAUAUCUAAUUUAUUAAAUUGAAUUUUAGAAUUUAGAAUUUAUUAAAUUAGACUAACCCUAACCUACUAAAGUUAAUAUUAGAAAUUGAUAUUUUUUAUAAUUUUUAAUAAAUCACUAGUUGGUAAUUUUUUACUUUUUAGGAUUUAUAAUUUUAAAUAUCUUUUAUAAUUGAAUUUAUAACUUCAAAUAGCUUUUUUUAAUUUAAUUUUUCACUUUAAAAUUUAAAAUAUCUAAAAUAACUUUAAUUUAUAACUUCUUCUAUUUUUUUUAAAAUUAAAAUAAACUUUUUUUAUAAGUUUUAUUAAAAUAUCUAAUUUAUUAAAUUGAAUUUUAGAAUUUAAAUUUUUUAAAUUAGACUAAACCUAAUCUACUAAAGUUAAUAUUAGAAAUUGAUAUUUUUUAUAAUUUUUAAAAAAUCACUAGUUGUUAAUUUUUUAGUUUUUAGGAUUUAUAAUUUAAAAUAACUUUUAUAAUUGAAUUUAUAACUUUAAAAAUUAAAAUACCUUAUUAAAUUUUUUUUUUAACUUUAAAAUUUAAAAUAUCUAAAAUAACUUUAAUUUAUAAUUUAAAUUAUAAAAAUAGUUUAUAAAAAAGUCAUAACACUAUCUAUCUCUUAACACUAUAAUCUAACUUCUUCUAACCCUACCUUCUAACUACUAACUCUUACUUCUAACCCUAACUUCUAACCCUAACACUAUCUACAUAUGUAUAUAAACUUAUUUUUACUAAUUUUUAAUAAUUCUUGUCAAUUUCUAUUAACCCUAACCCUAAUUUUUUACAUUUACAUAUAUAUAUAUUAUAAUUAUAAGUCACGGCUAAAUGCCGUGGCUAAUAAUUAGAAAAUAUCAGUAGCUAAUUUAACUGUCACUAAAUUAGCCACGGCUCCUCCAAAUCCGUGGCCAAAUUUGAGUGAAAAAUUGGAGGGAAUUUUUGCCAGGAAGUUUAUCCACGGAUUAGCCAUAGAUUUUUACAUCCGUGGCUAAAUAUUCAAAUUAGCCACAGCUUUUACUGGCCGUGGCUAAACCUGUGGGCGUAGCCCUGCUUUCUUGUAGUGGAUGUCGGGAGGAAAGGAAUCGUUGCGCACCUAGGAUAGUAAUGGGCAUUUCUCAAGUUUAUAUAUUAAAUGUAAAAACUAUUUUAUUGAGUGAUUACAUAUUGUUAACCUAAUUUAAUCUAAACAUUACAUAUUUAUACUAAACAAAUGUGAUAAGUGGAGAUGACUUGAACUAAGACCUAUUCGUUUGUUGGGCAUGAUCAAUGAAAUCAAUAUGAUAAAUAUCAAUAGAAUCAAUAAUUGAGAUAUAUAAUAAUUUAAUUUUCAACAAUUUUUCACUUCAACAAUUUUACUGUGGCGUUAGUCAUAUACUUAUAUAUGAUCGAUUUUAAUUUCGGAUUUUUUGAAAAAAAAUAAAGUGACUGAGUGAAAAAUUAAUAGAAAAUUGAUGGUGAUCGAAAUGCUUAAAAUCAUCAGGGUGUCACCAUAAUCCGUAACAAAUUUUCGAUCUCAUCAUCGAUUUCAAAAUGGAUGGUUGAAAUUGGGCCACCUUUAAAAAAAGAGGUUGAGUCCCUAUAUGUUUUUAUGAUUAUAUCUAAAUAUUAUUUACAUUUUAUAUAUUUUUACGUAAGAAUAAGAUGGAAGAAAAUGAAGGAAAAACAUUCAUAUGAAAUAUAAAUUUUGUUCUUGUUUUUAAUUUGUUAUUAUUUAAAUAUUAUCAUUUUUUUAAUUAUUCAAUAAAAAUUUAUUAAGUAUUUCAUUUUAAAGAUUUUCAGGUCACCAUAAAUUUUAAAUUAUUUUUUUAUAACUCUGUCAUUUUUUUAAAAUUCAAAAUUAAAAUCGAUUAUAACUCACGACAUAGUACAUAAAUCCAAAAAUGGUUAAAAGAAUACUUGUUGGAAAUUAUAUGGUUUUGAAGAACAUCUGAAAAAUCGAACAAAAUAAGAUUUUAAAAAAAUAUGUACAUUUUAUGACACAAAUCGCAGAAUUUUUUUUUUGGCACGUCCAAAUUUGAAUAGACAGAAAAAUAUGCAAAUGCAUUGAUGGCGGCAGAAUUAGACUAGAAAUCAACAAUGGUUAUUAUAACUUCUUAAUUAGUAACUGACAAUUAACUAUAAUUAAAAAGUUAACAUGAUAUUUUGAAUAAAAGAGAAAACGAAGAUCAUUUUAAAUGAAAUUACGAAUGAGACAAUUAUAAAAAAAAUCAAAAAAUGUAAUAUUCGUGAAGACCAACUUGCAGUUUUUGACCACAAACAUGAGUAGUCGUUAAAAAGUCUUUUUUCUUCUAGUCGUAUUGUUUCUCGACUCUUCUAGUCAUAAAAUUCGCAUACAGUUAUCCAUACAAUACUUUUUUUUUCUUAAACAAUUAAAUGUCAUUAAAAAAAAGGUACUACCGAAAUUACAAAAUAGAGAAUAAAACGAAAAGUAAAUGAAAAAAAGAACUAAUAUGUUAUUCAAAUUAUUCAAACAAUUGAGUUUUUCCAAAAGAAAUAUGAAAUUGAUCAUAGUUUGCAUAGAUUGAACACCUGACUUUGAGGUUUUCAGGUUAAAUAUUUUAACCAUAAUACUACCAAACUAAUUAUAACAAACACAAGAAAUUCUAAAAAAUAAAAUCCUCAUAUACAAGAAGGGGGACUUACGACACCUUGAUUUGAACCUUCCACAUUAUCGCAACUAGAUUUUAAUUUUUUUCCUCUUAAAUUUGUGCUCGGAGUAAGAUUUAUAUUCGCCAGCUUUAUAUCGCAUGGUUUGGAUUCGCUGCAUUGUAGUUUUAUUGCCAGCUCUGAAGAAGAUGUUCCAUUUGAUGAGUGUACUUGAUCGUUGAUCUCAAUACUAGCGGCUUCCAUAACAUUUCUUUGGAGCUCAUUAUAGUCAGUAUAUAAAAAUGAAAAUAAAUAAUAUGACUUAAAUUUGUUAAAAUACUUAAAACGAAACGUUUCUAACGAAGUUUCUUACAAUGAAGCAUCCUCCCUUUGGAUGAGCUCAAUCGUUUGUCUUAGCCAAACUAUGUGUUUUCUUAUAAACCUCACAGUGACCGACUUCAUGGUCAGCUUCUUCAUUCUGAUUCUCAUACACAAAAAAUUAGAAUGGUAAACGUAAAAUAUAUGAAAGAAUUGUUUUUUUACCAUUCUUUGAUGAGUGACAGCAACUGGACAAGAUCCACCAGUGUAUGGCAUGUAAUCUAGAUUGGUUAUCUUAUUUUCUGUUACUUUUUCAGAUCUUUUUUACCAAUCUUCUUUUAACCAACUUUCUACCAUUUCACUCCAUACUUCCGCAGAAAGGUAUAUUGGUGGAAAUCGAGCACAAGAUCUGGUGAGUUUGUUAACUUUGGCUAAUUUUUUUACUUCUUGUCUCGCUUUAUACAACCAACAUGUAUAAUUCAGUUGUACAUAGUUAUCAAAAAAAUUCACGAGCCAAUUGAAUGUCUUCAAAUGCGAAAUAGCACUACAUAAAGACAAAAAAAUUACAUAUGGAAAAAAAUGACAAAAUAAAUAAAUAAAUCAUACCAAAAAUUUGACGAAAAGAUUUUCUUUUUCCUCUUCUUUCCAAGAAGUCCAUUUAGUUAAGGUGACGUUAUGUUACCUUUUACUAAUAUUCCUAUUUGACUUCGUACAUUGUUUGUAAAAGUCUUAUAAAAAACAAUCAAAUUAAAUAAUAUUGAUGGGGGUGAAACCCGACCAGUACUCCAAGACGCGCAAGCAAGCGCCAAGCGGGGAACUCCGCGGGAAACCGGACCGGAACUCAAGUGCGCAGAGCUCUGCUUCGCUAGGACUUCUUCGACUCCAAAUGACCUGCCUUUAAUGAGUGGGGGAUGCCUCCUAUUUAUAGGGGUUCUUAUGGGGGUAAUCUGGUCAUUUGGGCAGUAACCGCCUAACUGCCUAACUGAUCAGAUCGGGGCCCAAGAUCGACUUUCCAGAGAUCGACUUUCUGGGGAUCGACUUUAUUCAGAAGUCGAUGCCAGGGAAGUCGAUCCUCAGGAAAGUCGAUCUUCCUAGGAUUCGACUUGGGACCUUCCCAACCCUAGAAUAGGUACCUUAACUCAUCUUAGGCUAUCCGGACUUCUAGUUGCUGGUAGGUUGUGACCGGGUUCGGGAUACUGUAUCACUAGNNNNNNNNNNNNNNNNNNNNNNNNNNNNNNNNNNNNNNNNNNNNNNNNNNNNNNNNNNNNNNNNNNNNNNNNNNNNNNNNNNNNNNNNNNNNNNNNNNNNUCCAUGCUUGAAGAAAGGCAUCUGUAGAAUCUACCGAUCCUCCUAUCGUAGCACCAUAAUCUAUAACAUUAUGGAAUAAAACAUAAGAAGAUCCGGAUGUUGAAAGAAUUUGAAUGAAAAAGAACGCGAGAAAGACAAGAUCCAUCUUUAACUUUGUUUUGCUCUAUAUGCUAUAAAACUCUAUGUCUUUUAUAGCUGGUAAACUUGAACGAUUGAUCAUAAAUAAAUGAAAUUUGCUACGCUCAUAUAACUAGAGGUGGAAAUAGAAAAGAUCUAGACUUUAAGAAUGACCUAAUUAUAAGCUUAUAGCUAUUUUCUUUCUUUGUUUUGUUUCUAUUUAUUCUUUUUGAAAUUCAGGAUCAAUGAAAUUUUAAUUUAUUUGAUUGUUUAAUUAUAUAUAUAGAUAAAUAGUAAAAGUAAACUAAUAUUUUUAUGUCAACUGUGUGUAAUUUAAAAUAGUAUGGAUAUUAAAAGGGAGAAUUAAAGUUCAGUAAGUGAUUAAAACUAAGAGGUUUCUGAUACACUGCAGGUGAUCAGGCUCCUUUCGAAGAACAGAUUCGGAUACGAAAAAUGAUAUCUGAAAUUUAUCCGAACGAAUUUUCAGAUAUCUGCAAUAUCUAUCGUUGAAAUCCGAAUUCAGUUGAUAAUUUCGGAUACGGAUAUCCGAAUAAAUAUAAAUUGACUUUCGGAUAUUCGGAUUAUCCAGAUAUCCGAAUAUUAAGAUGAUUUGCCCAUGAUGGCUUGAAACCAAUAUGAUACCUUGCCCAUAAUAAGCAAGUUUACUAGCUGUACCUUAUCCCCGACCUUAAUAUAACAUUUUGUUUUUCCAUUUCGCUAGAUAGAUUCUGAGUUGUUCCAACAAGUUACUACAAUAAGAUAUUUUCACAUUUCUACCGAUGACCCGAAGUGCUACCUCUGGAAAUUCGUGUUGGAAAUCUCAUAAAGUGUGUGAUCUUCACAUAUUAUUAAUAAUAUCACAAGUGUUAAAGUUUUAAACAAAAGUAUAUUCAUAUGGAUACAUUAGUGUAGCCUAGACAAUAGAAGUUGAUCUGGAGCUCAAAUAAGACGACUUCACAAUAACUUGUUGACUCAGCCUUUGUUUCUCAUGCAACCUGGUUACAGCCCAAGUAAGAGAUUGGAGAUCCCCAUUUCUGGAAUACUUCCAAGGUGGAAAAAUGUAAGAGGAUAAGAAUGAGCGUCGGAAGUUACAAACACGCAUUCUGAGAUUUUGCAACAUAGGGGACACCCUCUAAAGAAAUCCUACGAUGAUGGAUCCCUAAUAAAUGGUCUCAUAAUACGAGGAUCAAUACACAGCAGAAGAAAUUCACAAAGGUGUGUGGGGAAUCCACCAAGGGGGAGAUCUUUAGAUCAAAGAAUAGCAAGACAAGGAUACUUCUACUCACAUUAAAAAGAGAUACAAUAUUCAUUUAUGCAAGAGGGUAUAAAGCUAAUAAGAUUCACAAAAAUAUCCAAAGAAAUCCCGCGACAUUACUAACCGGGAUUAAUUGUCCAAUCUCUUUUGCAAUGUGGGGGUUGGAUAUUGUUAGACCAAAUUUAUAUUUAUCACCGUUGACUACUUUACUAAGUGGGUUGAAACCUUAGAAGUAUCCUGAAACAACUCAAAUUAAAUCAAUUACGUAAAAGAGUUGACCUGAUGGUCGGGAUUGCCCCGAUCCAAAAUCUGAAGACCCUAGGUGUCAGAGGCAGCACGCAACCGGG